rnacentral:rRNA from 1 species
CCUACGGGUGGCAGCAGUGGGGAAUUUUUCGCAAUGGGGGAAACCCUGACGAAGCAACGCCGCGUGGAGGAUGAAGGCCUUCGGGUUGUAAACUCCUGUCGACCGGGACGAAAGUAGUCCGGGCUAAUACCCCGGGCUAUCGACUGUACCGGUGGAGGAAGCCACGGCUAACUCUGUGCCAGCAGCCGCGGUAAUACAGAGGUGGCAAGCGUUGUUCGGAAUUACUGGGCGUAAAGGGCGCGUAGGCGGUCUUGUAAGUCCUGUGUGAAAUCCCUCGGCUCAACUGAGGAACCGCACAGGAAACUGCGAGGCUUGAGUUCGGGAGAGGGAAGUGGAAUUCCGGGUGUAGCGGUGAAAUGCGUAGAUAUCCGGAGGAACACCGGUGGCGAAGGCGGCUUCCUGGACCGACACUGACGCUGAGGCGCGAAAGCUAGGGGAGC